ACGGGUGAGUAAUAUAUCGGAACGUACCCUAGAGUGGGGGAUAACGCAGCGAAAGUUGCGCUAAUACCGCAUACGAUCUACGGAUGAAAGUGGGGGAUCGCAAGACCUCAUGCUCAUGGAGCGGCCGAUAUCUGAUUAGCUAGUUGGUAGGGUAAAAGCCUACCAAGGCUUCGAUCAGUAGCUGGUCUGAGAGGACGACCAGCCACACUGGAACUGAGACACGGUCCAGACUCCUACGGGAGGCAGCAGUGGGGAAUUUUGGACAAUGGGCGCAAGCCUGAUCCAGCAAUGCCGCGUGAGUGAAGAAGGCCUUCGGGUUGUAAAGCUCUUUUGUCAGGGAAGAAACGGUGGGCUCUAAUACAGAUCACUAAUGACGGUACCUGAAGAAUAAGCACCGGCUAACUACGUGCCAGCAGCCGCGGUAAUACGUAGGGUGCAAGCGUUAAUCGGAAUUACUGGGCGUAAAGCGUGCGCAGGCGGUUGUGCAAGACAGAUGUGAAAUCCCCGGGCUCAACCUGGGAAUUGCAUUUGUGACUGCACGGCUAGAGUGUGUCAGAGGGGGGUAGAAUUCCACGUGUAGC
rnacentral:rRNA from 1 species